rnacentral:rRNA from 1 species
CACGAACUGUGCAAACGUUAUUCGGAAUCACUGGGCUUAAAGAGUUCGUAGGCGGCCUGUUAAGUCGGGUGUGAAAUCCCUCGUCUCAACCGAGGAAUUGCACUCGAAACUGGCGGGCUUGAGUGAGAUAGAGGUGAGCGGAACUGAUGGUGGAGCGGUGAAAUGCGUUGAUAUCAUCAGGAACACCGGUUGCGAAGGCGGCUCACUGGGUCUUGACUGACGCUGAGGAACGAAAGCUAGGGGAGCGAACGGG